CAAGUCCUCCUCAUGUUUUUCCACAGCUUUCUUGAACUUUUUAGUCACACAUAUCAUCGAUACAUAUAUACAAACUUUUGUAUCGAUAAUUAACCGCUAGCUAGUUAAUUAAUGUGUGUUUUUGCUAAAAAGCUCAAGAAAGCUGUGGGAGGAAAUGAGCAUUCAUGGACUUCUUAAUGUGAAAUAUUGCUACCUAGCUACCAGAUCAAUAUAAUGCAUAUCGUGAACAACUCACUCACUCACUCAAAAAACCUCUUCAAAUUUUCAUUUGUUACAAAUGUAUCUCAAAAGGUGGAUGCACGGUGGCUAAUCUGUCAAUCUUGUAUAUACUUCUUUAAUUUUUCCAUAUAGAAAAUCAAAAGAAGACUCGGAUUUGCAAAUAAAAAAAUUCUGCAAAAGAGAAGAGAAGAGGUGCUCCGGAUGGUGAUGCCAAUUUAUGGCAGAGGUGCACCGGAGCAGAAGAGAAGACAGGGAGGAGGGAGGCGCCGGUGAGUUUUUCGUUUGUGUAGGUUUUUUGUUAUGGUAGAGGUGCACCGGAGCAGAAGAGAAGAUAGGGGGAGGGAGGCGACGGUGAGUUUUUCAUUUGUGUGGGUAUUUUGUUGAAUCGAGGUGAAUGAACCAAAAUAUUCUAAACUCAAAUCACACAACAUCCAUGGACGACGGCGGCGGCGGAUUAAAUGGACGACGACGACGGAGGUAGGUAUGGUGGCGGAGAUGGUGGCCGGGCAGUGAAAGGAGGGAGAGAGGUAUGGCAGUUGCGGUGGAUGGCGAGAGUGACGUGUGAAUGAGAUAUUAGUUAGGGUUACUUAAGUGUUGUUAAGCAUAGGGGUAUUUUUGGUAGGAAAAAAAGGCUGAAUUUUUUAAUCCAAUAUACUUUAAUAGGGAUUAUAGAUAGGUAUUUUUUUUUGAACAAAUAUCAUACGUAUUUUAUAUACUAACUUAAUUAUA